UACGUAGGGGGGCAAGCGUUGUCCGGAUUUAUUGGGCGUAAAGAGCUCGUAGGCGGUUUGUCGCGUCUGCUGUGAAACCCGAGGCUCAACCUCGGGCCUGCAGUGGGUACGGGCAGACUAGAGUGCGGUAGGGGAGAUUGGAAUUCCUGGGUGUAGCGGUGGAAUGCGCAGAUAUCAGGAGGAACACCAAUGGCGAAGGCAGAUCUCUGGGGCCGUAACUGACGCCUGAGGAGCGAAAGCAUGGGGGAGCGAACAGG
rnacentral:rRNA from 1 species